rnacentral:misc_RNA from 1 species
CGGUCUUUGAGGAGGUACCAUGAGGUACCAAAAAUUUAGUGUAAAAUUUGGUACCUCAUGGUACCUCAUAGUACCUAGGUACCGAGAGAAUCCAAAUUUACAAUAGAAAAAAGGGUACCUCAUGGUACCUUCUCAAGUAC